ACUAAACACAGUACAAAAACAGACACCCCAAAACAUGACUAAAAGUAAACAAAGACCAAACAAGCCAAGAUGAUAACCUUCUACUAUUUGUUUCUCCAUAACAAGCCAAUCUAUUUCUAGGUCUGGCCUCCCACGGAUCUGAAGCAACAUGUGACUCCAUUCAAGCAGCAAUACAAAGUUGUGGCAGUGCAUGCAGGGAGGCAAAGCAAGUUCAGGAACAAAAGGAGACUUCUCUAAGACUGAAUGACAGAAAUAGAUUUAGUAAUGAAGUAUCAACACAUGAUAUGUGUGAGGCAGAAUAUGAAGAUCUGAAACAUUUUCAGUUAUGGUGCCCAGAAUACCGAGAGGAAAGAAGAAAAAGUGAAAGACUGCAACAACCAUAUAGAGAAGAGGGCAUUAUAGGAAUGCACCUGUUUGAAAAUAAAUAUAGUGAGAAAAUGAAGAGGGCAGUGCAUAAAUUUUGGAUAAUAGGAGAAAAGAAAAGGAAAGAGAAAGAAGAAAGUGGAAGACCCAGACAGUGAGAAGGGAUGCAUCAGGGAGUGCUGUUCCAAAGGCAACAACCACCUAACAACUCAACUCACCUCUUGUGACCACUCCCUAUGAAGCUCUCAGCAACAGGCAAUAGACAGAUGAACAAAUAGGCAUAACCAGACAUCUCUCCAGUCCUCCUCACAAUUUGGCCUUCACAGGGGCCAAACACAAGUCCCUGGGGAAGGUCAGCACUGGUCCACACCCCCAGACCUCCAUCCUCCACCUUGGACUUGGCAAU